rnacentral:tRNA from 1 species
UCCCUACCAGCUCAGCGGUAAAGAAUCUGCCUGUAAUGCAGGAGACCUGGGUUCGAUCCCUGGGUUGGAAA